AAAACAAACAAUGCAUCAUCUACAGUGUAAAUAGUGAUAUAU
rnacentral:guide_RNA from 1 species